GACGAACGCUGGCGGCGUGCUUAACACAUGCCAGUCGAACGGAAAGGCCCUGCUUUUGUGGGGUGCUCGAGUGGCGAACGGGUGAGUAACACGUGAGUAACCUGCCCUUGACUUUGGGAUAACUUCAGGAAACUGGGGCUAAUACCGGAUAGGAGCUCCUGCUGCAUGGUGGGGGUUGGAAAGUUUCGGCGGUUGGGGAUGGACUCGCGGCUUAUCAGCUUGUUGGUGGGGUAGUGGCUUACCAAGGCUUUGACGGGUAGCCGGCCUGAGAGGGUGACCGGCCACAUUGGGACUGAGAUACGGCCCAGACUCCUACGGGAGGCAGCAGUGGGGAAUAUUGCACAAUGGGCGGAAGCCUGAUGCAGCAAUGCCGCGUGCGGGAUGACGGCCUUCGGGUUGUAAACCGCUUUCGCCUGUGACGAAGCGUGAGUGACGGUAAUGGGUAAAGAAGCACCGGCUAGCUACGUG
rnacentral:rRNA from 1 species